rnacentral:lncRNA from 1 species
GAUAAAGAAAUGAAAGCAUAUAGUUUUCAAAUGUGAUUCCAAAUUAAGUACACAACUUAUUACACAAUCUGUGGAUGACCCCAUUGAGAGAUAUAUGAACUGUGAAUAUUUACAAAUUACAACUGACGAAAAUUCUAAAGAUGAUAAAUAAGAACAUUUGACGAGAAUGGACCGCAUGACCAAAAUUAUUUAAAUCAAAAUUUUAUUUAGCUUGUAUGCAUUGAGUACCCACAUUUCAGUUUAAACAUUUGGGGUACAUAAAAAACACUUCAAAUCCCUUUUCAAUAUUUCUUCUGAAUCAUACAACACUUUAAAGAUGAUCUAACUAUAAAAGUAUACCUACAUUAAAAUUCAUUGCAACACUUGACAAUCUAACCUUAACGUUUCUGAUUUUCAAGAUCUUCUAUUACACAUCAUUUUUUCUAAAAAAAAGUUAGGGUCUGUUUGAUUUGGGCGGGAAAAGAGUUUACCGGGAAAUAAAUUUACCAUGUGCAAAUAUUCGGGAAAUAAAAUUUUAAU